rnacentral:rRNA from 1 species
UUACUCUGCCACCGAAUACAUUAGCAUGGGAUAAUGGAAUAGGACCCUGUCCUCCUAUUUUCAGUUGGUUUUGGCAGCGCGAGGACUAGGGUAAUGAUUAAUAGGGAUAGUUGGGGGCAUUAAUAUUUAAUUGUCAGAGGUGAAAUUCUUGGAUUUAUGAAAGAUUAACUUCUGCGAAAGCAUCUGCCAAGGAUGUUUUCAUUAAUCAAGAACGAAAGUUAGGGGAUCGAAGACGAUCAGAUACCGUCGUAGUCUUAACCAUAAACGAUGCCGACCAGCGAUUAGGAGACGUUGAAUACAAAACACCACCAUCGGCGCGGUCGUCCUUGGCUGGUCGUCCCUCACGGGGCGGCCGGCGGGGGCGGCUUAGCCCGAUGGCACCGGUGAAUGACUCCC